GACGAACGCUGGCGGCGUGCCUAAUACAUGCAAGUAGAACGCUGAAGGAGGAGCUUGCUCUUCUGGAUGAGUUGCGAACGGGUGAGUAACGCGUAGGUAACCUGCCUGGUAGCGGGGGAUAACUAUUGGAAACGAUAGCUAAUACCGCAUAACAGUAGAUGUUGCAUGACAUUUACUUAAAAGGUGCAAUUGCAUCACUACCAGAUGGACCUGCGUUGUAUUAGCUAGUUGGUGGGGUAACGGCUCACCAAGGCGACGAUACAUAGCCGACCUGAGAGGGUGCUCGGCCACACUGGGACUGAGACACGGCCCAGACUCCUACGGGAGGCAGCAGUAGGGAAUCUUCGGCAAUGGACGGAAGUCUGACCGAGCAACGCCGCGUGAGUGAAGAAGGUUUUCGGAUCGUAAAGCUCUGUUGUAAGAGAAGAACGAGUGUGAGAGUGGAAAGUUCACACUGUGACGGUAUCUUACCAGAAAGGGACGGCUAACUACGUG
rnacentral:rRNA from 1 species